GUGUGGAUAUUGUUCAGCACCAGGGACAGGCAUGUUUACCUGUGUGUGGAUAUUGUUCAGCAUGAGGGACAUGUAUGUUAGCUA
rnacentral:pre_miRNA from 1 species